AAUCUCAUUACACAUUUGUAAUCUGCCAAAUUGGGAUACUGCUGCCUUUCGUCUAGCGCCUCCUACUUUAUAAUAACUCUUGUCUCUGUAUAGAUCCUGCUUCAAAUCUAGACUCAGGAUGAAUAAAACUUGCUUAUUUUUAUUUGUAUGUCUGAGGAAAAUAGAGCUGCUUUGAAAGUUGUGUGCCUUUGUGUAUGAAAGAAUGGUAUAUAAACUGAAAAGCCAGACAGUAAAGGUGACAGACAGGAGAGCAUCCUGGAGUGUUGACAUCUGCCUGUGUACCUGCUGCGCUAAGUCCAGACACUGCCACUAGCUCAGCUCACUGCUUCCACAGUGAAGAAAGAACCUGUGACUGUAGAAGUGAGAAGAAAGACACUGAGGAGACAUGGCUGUAUAAAACCUCAUGGCCAACUCAGUUACUAGGUGUGAUUUUCCUUUGAAUUUCGUUUGGCUGGUGUGGUUCAAGAAUCUGAAUUCUUGAACCUGUUUUGCUUUUAUAAAAAGUGUUUAUGACAUUUGUAGUAUGUGUGUGCAUGCACAUGUGUGUGUGUGUGUCAGAAGAAACUUGUGAGAGUCCAUUUUCUCAUGGUUAGGCUUGGCAGCAAGUGUCUUCCUGGCUCCUAUUUAAGAAAAGGUGGUUGUCUUGUUUGUGUUUGAGACAGGGCCUCACUACGGUAGCUCUGGCUGAUCUGGAACUCACUCUGUAGCCUCCAAGAUCUGCCUACCUCUGCCUCCUGAGUGCUGGGAUUAAAGGAAUGCAGCACCACUGACCACAGAGGGUUUUUAAGCUCUGUGUGUGUUCACACGAAAGAGGCUAGAAGGGGGUGUUGUACGGUCUGGAGCUGGAGCCAUUGGCAGUCAUGAGCUGCCUGAUAUGGGUGCUGAGAAACUAAUUUGGGUCCUCUAAGAGUAGCAAGUGCCCUCUCUCUAGCCCCAGGUUGGUUUUAUUUCCCUCCCUCCCUCUCUCCCUUUCUUCUUUCCUUUUAUGUCUUCUGACAUAUUUUGAAAAGUAUGUUAAAAAAGUAAAGAUGUAUCAUUUCAUACAUAGACUGUCCUGAAAACUUGGGCACUUAACAGAGGGGUCCAGCUUGUUCUGAAAGUAUGGCUGCUUGCAGGUUUACUUGGAAGUGGGAGGAAUUAGACUCCUUAAGACCCAGGGAAAGGGCAGGAUGGUGUGUUUGGAUAAAUUUCAUAUCAGCGACAAAACCAGGGUUUCUAUUCCUUGUCUUGGCGUUUUUAUGGUCUUUAGAUCCUGUAAACCUGGAUCCAAUUUUGCCUCAGCCACACCUGGUAGAUUUCAUCUUCUACAACUUACUCAGCAGCCUGAUUCCAUGUUAGGGCACAGUGGAGUGCCAACUACGUAGGAACACAAGGAAAGAGGAGCUCUAUACAUGAGCAGCUGGAUAGAGAGCUGUAAGCUUGGGCAAGAACAGAGUUCUAAGGAAAAUGAGUCAUAAUCCAGCCCAGUACAAAGUUCUGGAAAAAUGCUGAGUAGCCAAUCAGUGGCAGACUUAAUCUUCUCAAAGGAAAAUAGCAUUGCUCACACACUGCCCCAAACCUAGCCGAUGCCCAAGAGCUAUGUAGUGUAGAGGAGAGCGCCCUAGCUUAGUCCUAGAUCCAGCUAUUCUGCUGCAUAGCCCUGCACAUUGAGCACAUUAAUUCUUGCAAACCUCACUUUGGUCAUUUUUAAAAUAAAAUAGUUGAAGGUGAUCAGAUGGCUCAGCAGGUUAAAGUGUGAAUUGCCAAGCCUGAUAACCUGAGUUUGAAACCAGGAUCCACAUAGUGGAGGGAGAGUAUUGACUUCAUAGAUUGUCCUUUCACUUCCACUGGCACUCAGUGCAUGUGUAUGUGCCUGCCCCAGACAAGAUACAUGGAAUUUAAAAAUUCCUAAAGGUAGAGUUAAACGGCUUCGGUAGUGGUACAAGGAUAUUGAUGUGGGAAAAUAUGAUUCACAUGUUGAAAGAUUAACAUGAAGAAAAACUGAACCAUAUGGGAUUAUAAAAUCAGAAAAUUUCUCCUCUUGCUCAGUGAAUGUGUCAAAUAUGAACAUUGCAUUCUAAGAACUAUCUCCCUUUUAGCAAAUGAGAUGGUGUCUUAGUCAGGGUUUCUAUUCCUGCACAAACAUCAUGACCAAGAAGCAAGUUGGGGAGGAAAGGGUUUAUUCAGCUUAUAUUUCCAUACUGCCGUUCAUCACCAAGGAAGUCAGGACUGGAACUCAAGCAAGUCAGAAAGCAGGAGCUGAUGCAGGAGUCAUGGAGGGAUGUUCUUUACUGGCUGGCUUCCCCUGGCUUGCUCAGCCUGCUCUCUUAAAGAACCCAAGACUGCCAGCCCAGAGAUGGUCCCACCCACAAGGGGCCCUUCCCCCUUGAUCACUAAUUGAGAAAAUGCCCCACAGCUGGAUCUCAUAGAGGCAUUUCCCCAACUGAAGCUCCUUUCUGUGAUAACUCCAGCUUGUGUCAAGUUGACACACAAAACCAGCCAGUACAAUUGACCCCUUGUCAACUUGACACACAAACACAUCACUACUAAGCCUCAACACUUAUUCAUCCCCAAGAUCUUAAAUAACUUUAAAAGUCCCACAGUCUUUACAUAUUAAAAGUUCAAUCCUUUUAAAUUAUCCAGUAUCUUUUAAAAUUCAAAGUCUUUUAAUUGUGGGCUUCACUAAAAACUUCCUUCAAGAGGGAGAAAUAUCAGGGCACAGUCACAAUCAAAAGCAAAAGUCAAUCUCCAACUGUCCAAUGUCUGGGAUCCAACUCACAAUUUUCUGGGCUCCUCCAAGGGUUUGGGUCACAUCUCCAGCCCUGUCCUUUGUAGCACACAGCUUGUCUUCUAGGAUCCAGCUGCCUGUACUCCCCUGCUGCUGUUCUUAGUGGUCAUCUCAUGGUACUGGCAUCUCCAAAACAAUGCAUGACUCCUUCAGUCCUGGGCCAUCAACUUCACCUGAGGCUGCACCUUCACCAAUGGCCUUCCAUGGCCUCUCACAGUGCCGAGCCUCAGCUACUCUGCGUGACCCCUUCAUGCCUUCAAAACCAGUACCACCUGGGUGACCCUUACACAUUACCAAGUCCCGCUGCAGCAGGAGUACAACCUUGGCUAUCUCUGGAACACAGCCUCUUUGUGCUUUCAGAAAACACUUACCAGAAGAUGUCAUCUCAACGGUGCUGGUCUCUUCUUAAUCACUGCUAAUUUCUUAGCUCCUGCUAACCAGCAUCAAUAGUCCCAGUAAUGCAAAGGUUUUGCUUUAGUAGUUCUGGUAUCUUGUUAAUCACAGCUGAUUCUUCAGCCCCAGCUAACCAGAACCACAGAAUAAUCAAACUCCAAAAUAACAAUGGCCCUGAAAAGAAUCUUUAAUUUUCCCUCUGAAAUUUCACAAGCCAGGCCUCCAUCUUCUGCACUGUUCUCACCAUUAUCUUCCAAGCUCCUACACAACACCUGACAGAGCUGUUAACACCAAAUGGAUCUUCUAGCCCAAAAUUCCAAAGUCCUUCCACAGUCCUCCCCAAAACAUGGUCAGGUUGUCACAGGAAUACCCCACUCCUGGUACCAAUUUGUCCUAGGGUUUCUAUUCCUGCACAAACAUCAUGACCAAGAAACAAGUUGGGGAGGAAAGGAUUUAUUCAGCUUACACUUCCAUACUGCUUUUCAUCACCAAGGAAGUCAGGACUGGAACUCAAGCAGGUCAGAAAGCAGGAGCUGAUGCAGAAGCCAUGGAGGGAUGUUCCUUACUGGCUGGCUUCCCCUGGCUUGCUCUCUUAUAGAACCCAAAGACUACCAGCCCAGGGAUGGUCCCACCCACAAGGGGCCCUUCCCCCUUGAUCACUAAUUGAGAAAAUGCCCCACAGCUGGAUCUCAUGGAGGCACUUCUCCAACUGAAGCUCCUUUCUCUGUGAUAACUCCAGCUUGUGUCAAGUUGACACACAAAACCAGCCAGUACAGAUGGUAUAAACAUUUCCAAAGAAAAUUCAUGCGAAUCUCUGAGUUCGAGGCCAGCCUGAUCUACAGAGUGAGUUCCAGGACAUCCAGGGCUAUACAGAGAAACCCUGUCUUGAAAACAAAAGAAUAUUCAUGUCAUGUCAAAUAUGUGGUAUGAGUAGGUGCCAGUGUGCUGGAUUCUAGGAAGGAAAUUUGUAUUAAAGACAAAACAUGGUCCUUUGCUGAGUCCUGCAUGACCAUGUGGAAGGGACAACCUGACAGUUUCUGCUGCUGGAGCAGAGCCAGGAGGGCAUGGGCCUCCACAAGUGUGGACCCUGCUAGACAUGAAGCUUGUUUGUAUAAUAAUGUACAUAAUUUAUGUUCUCCUUAAGAAAAUAUUCUCCCUGCCAAAGUUAUUGGGGAAUAUGAUCUCUGCUAAGGUUAAUAAUUCCAUGAUAAUCAGAAACAGCAUGAGUCCAGGAGGUGAGGGUGUGUCUAAUGUCUCAGCAAAAAUGAUAAAUGCUGUGACCUUCAGGAUAGCCCUUAAGGCUGUGGGAAAAGCUCGAAAUACAUAAAUUCAAAGAUAUUGAGAAAUGGGAUUUCUCAACUAUGCAAAAUAUAAGGAUGCAAUAUGAAUUACAUGAGGGGUUUCAUGGACCUAAAAGAGCAAAGGCAGGUGCACUGAUAAGCCAGCUUGUCAGAAAUAUACAAAGGCAGGCAGGUUCCUAAGAUCAGGUCAGCCUGGGACAGAGUGAGUUUAAGCCAGGUGUGGUGGGAAUGGUAAUUUUAGGAGACGAUCCCACCCAGCUAGCUUAUUGUCUGUGCUUACCAAGGCAGGCAGAUCUCUGAAUUCAGUAGUUAUGAU
rnacentral:lncRNA from 1 species